UAUAUCAUUUAUAGACCCUCCGCUAGGGGGAUUCGGCGAUAUAUUACCCUCAGUGAUGAUACAUCACUGGCCGGGGGAUAAUAUUUCGUCGAAUCCUCCAAGCGGAGGGUCUAUAAAUGAU